AGUUGGUUAAAUGGAAUCAAUUACAUACAGUAAUGGCAAAAUUCUUGGUUCAGGCUUGUAGCAGUGAAGGAAUAAACAGCAGGAUCAAAUCAAGUCUCUAGAAUACAUCUCCUGCUGGGAUGGGUCCUCAGUCCUUUGUUCAGAGCUUCAGUUGUAGCGAAGUCCCUCCAGAGGUAAGAAGCAGGAUUGAAG